rnacentral:tRNA from 1 species
AACCUGUAGCGCAAUGGAUAGCGCUUUGGACUUCUAAUCCAAAGGUCGUGGGUUCGAAUCCCUCCUAGAAUG